rnacentral:rRNA from 1 species
UACAGAGGUCUCAAGCGUUGUUCGGAAUUACUGGGCGUAAAGCGCACGUAGGCGGCUUUGUAAGUUAGAGGUGAAAGCCCGGGGCUCAACUCCGGAACUGCCUUUAAGACUGCAUCGCUUGAAUCCAGGAGAGGUGAGUGGAAUUCAGAGUGUAGAGGUGAAAUUCGUAGAUAUUCGGAAGAACACCAGUGGCGAAGGCGGCUCACUGGACUGGUAUUGACGCUGAGGUGCGAAAGCGUGGGGAGCAAACAGG